ACGGGUGAGUAACGCGUGGGAACGUACCUUUUGGUUCGGAACAACUGAGGGAAACUUCAGCUAAUACCGGAUAAGCCCUUACGGGGAAAGAUUUAUCGCCGAAAGAUCGGCCCGCGUCUGAUUAGCUAGUUGGUGAGGUAAUGGCUCACCAAGGCGACGAUCAGUAGCUGGUCUGAGAGGAUGAUCAGCCACAUUGGGACUGAGACACGGCCCAAACUCCUACGGAAGGCAGCAGUGGGGAAUAUUGGACAAUGGGCGAAAGCCUGAUCCAGCCAUGCCGCGUGAGUGAUGAAGGCCCUAGGGUUGUAAAGCUCUUUUGUGCGGGAAGAUAAUGACGGUACCGCAAGAAUAAGCCCCGGCUAACUUCGUGCCAGCAGCCGCGGUAAUACGAAGGGGGCUAGCGUUGCUCGGAAUCACUGGGCGUAAAGGGUGCGUAGGCGGGUUCUUAAGUCAGAGGUGAAAUCCUGGAGCUCAACUCCAGAACUGCCUUUGAUACUGAGAGUCUUGAGUAUGACAGAGGUGAGUGGAACUGCGAGUGUAGAGGUGAAAUUCGUAGA
rnacentral:rRNA from 1 species